rnacentral:rRNA from 1 species
UGGGGAAUAUUGGACAAUGGGGGCAACCCUGAUCCAGCAAUGCCGCGUGUGUGAAGAAGGUCUUCGGAUUGUAAAGCACUUUCGACGGGGACGAUGAUGACGGUACCCGUAGAAGAAGCCCCGGCUAACUUCGUGCCAGCAGCCGCGGUAAUACGAAGGGGGCUAGCGUUGCUCGGAAUGACUGGGCGUAAAGGGCGUGUAGGCGGUUUACACAGUCAGAUGUGAAAUCCCCGGGCUUAACCUGGGAGCUGCAUUUGAUACGUGUAGACUAGAGUGUGAGAGAGGGUUGUGGAAUUCCCAGUGUAGAGGUGAAAUUCGUAGAUAUUGGGAAGAACACCGGUGGCGAAGGCGGCAACCUGGCUCAUGACUGACGCUGAGGCGCGAAAAGCGUGGGGAGCAAACAGGAUUAGAUACCCUGGUAGUCCACGCUGUAAAACGAUGUGUGCUAGAUGUUGGGUAACUUUGUUAUUCAGUGUCGCAGUUAACGCGUUAAAGCACACCGCCUGGGGGAGUACGGCCGCAA